rnacentral:misc_RNA from 1 species
UCCUCGAAUUACGAGGCAGUCUGACUAGAGAGUGCAACUAGUCACGAGGGUUGCGCUCGUUGCGGGACUUAACCCAACACCUCACGACACGAGCUGACGACAGCCAUGCACCACCUGUGACCGUGCCCCGAAGGGGAAACCACAUUUCUGCGGCGAUCCGGCCCAUGUCAAGCCUUGGUAAGGUUCUUCGCGUUGCAUCGAAUUAAUCCGCAUGCUCCGCCGCUUGUGCGGGCCCCCGUCAAUUCCUUUGAGUUUUAGCCUUGCGGCCGUACUCCCCAGGCGGGGUGCUUAAUGCGUUAGCUUCGGCACGGAGGGAGUCGACACCCCCCACACCUAAUGCCCAUCGUUUACGGCGUGGACUAC